GGGCUUUGAGGAGAAGAAGAAAAAAGACAAGAGAGAGGGAAGAUUGGCAACAGUGUCAGCUCAGGUGCCAAUCUUAAAAAUAAAUAAAUAAGUAAAGGCCGCUGCAGUAAUUAGUACAAGUAAGAAAUAUUUAACUGGCAUUAAGACAUGCCAAGGAAAAAGAGUGGCCUUGAGUUUCCUAUAAGGACAAUGCUUGAGAUUAACAUUUGCAGUCCCUCCCUCCCAUAAUUCCAUGUAGCCCUUUCUGAAAUGCCCUUUGCCCUAAACGUACUCUUAUUGAGUUAUUUCAACAAAAAAACCAUUAUUCUCCUCUUAUUCUGUAUAAGAUUCUGAGGAUCAAGAUAUUACCAAAACACCAUCUCUGUUCUUGACAUAUUUAUUACUGAAAUUAUCAAAUGUUGUAAUUAGGUAUGUAUAACCUUGUUUGCCCUCAGUGAACUGUGAGCAUCUUGAGGAAAGGAGCUGGAUCGUAUUCACUUUCCUGUCUCCACUGCCAGGCACAAUGUCGUGUAGUAUAUAUUAGCGUUUGCUAAAUAUUUAUUGGAUGGAUGGAUAGAUGGAUGGAUGGAUGGGAACGUUGUAGUGCCUCCAGCUACAAACGGGGAUUUGAUUCACGCUAUCUACAUGGUUCUCGGCAUGAGCAUACCUGUUAAUCCUCUAGGCCUUUAUUAUCCCACUCUUGCAUACAGAGAAUUAAGAGAUUUUCCAAAUCAAGUAAUCCAGUUUCUUCAGUUUACAGCUAAGGAAAUGAGACUCAGAGAGAGAAUCUGACUUAUUCCUAGUGCUACAUCUAAUAAAUAAGUAUCAGAUCUGGGUUAAAAUCCAGAUCGCUUGCUUUUCGUCAAAUAUCCACUACAUUAUGUUGUUUUCCAUGACUCAUAUCUGGAGGCUUCAAGGGACCCUGUGGAGCAAUCUGUCACUCCUGGCUUAUCUGGGCAACGUGUGAGAAAACCAGAUACAGCAAAACUAUGCAAAGGAGCCACUGUGGGGCUGAAGAAAGUCCCUACUGCUGCACAGAACUCACUAGAAUCGACAUGCCCAGGCAGCCUUUGGUAGCAAGUCGGAGCAGCAUAAUGAAAGGUUUGAGGAGGAACACACCCCACGGCAGCCUCUGCUCAGACACCUGCCAAGACGGUGCGGUUCUCCUGUGAGCAGAGUGCUCCCUCACCUGUACCGACAAGUCGGUCCCUACGACAGUGGAGUGCAUUUGCUUGACACUGACAAUAAGAGCACACCUUUGGGGAACUGCAUGGAUCUGAUCGUUGAAUCGAAGCCAACUCCAUCCUGAAGGAGAAAUUUUCCUCCUCCGUCCAGGUGGACAAUUCACGGGCAGAGUGAAUCAGUGUCAAAGUGAUGAGGAAAAUAUUCUGGGUUAUUAGUUUCCAAGAUCUGCAUGAUCAAAAUGAAAAUAACUCAAAAACACAAAUUCAAAACAUAUUCAUUAUUAAAACUGAUUUUUAAUGAUUUCUUUUUUAAAAAUCUCAAAUCACUUGAAAGCAAAUCAUAUACAUGUAUGUACGUAUACACUUGAGUGCGUGUGUGAAAUCAUUACCAUUUGGGAACGGAACAUUUUUAUUAUGAGAUCCUUUGGAAAGCUACUCUAGCAACUCCCUCCAUUUGUACCAAAUAUCUCUUGAUAAAUCGGUGGUGAGCAUCUUCACUUACUCCUUGGUGCUAUAGCAACAGUUUCUUUAGGAGACAUAUUGUCCUAGAAGUACAGUUUUCUCUGCCUCAUUUGGACACGGCACAUAGAUUUAAGCACAAAGAGACAAAUGGAUGUACUGGAAACAAAGAGCAGACUUCACGGGGAGUCGUACGCAGGGUCUGAGAGUGUUUCCUGUCUCGCAGGAAGCAUUCACAUCAUGACUUGUCGUCUAUACUGUCUGGCCCAGUGUCUCCUAACUUCCUGGAAUAAAACCAAACCAAGCAAAACAAUAAAAAUGACAAUUUUUCUGUGUUUUGGAAUUCCAAACUCUUAUUACUGGAAUACUAAAUCUUUCCACCCUACUGGCUGUCGUGCUUUCAAAAUUAACAGGGCUUUUUACGGUUUGUUUUUCAAAAAUAUAAUGUUCCUGUAUAUAUCCCAUAUAUUAUAACAAUUUAUUUUAAGUGUUAUUCUUAAAUUCUGCUAAUGCUUGUACAAAGAUCAAAAUAUUGACUUAUUAUUCAAGUUAACUUUUCUUUUCACUUUUGUAAAUGGCUUGAACAAAAUUCAUCCUCCCUUAAAUAGUACGAAUUGAGUUUUAGAUAUAGGCAAAUGGGAGGGAAAAAGUACUAUCAAAACAAUCCUUAGUUUGUUCCGUGAAUUUACCAUUCCUGCCCUCCAAAUGGACUUGUGGGUCCAACGGUUUCCAAAUUUGAUACCUAAGUUUCAACUUUGUCUUUAUAAGAAACCAUCCCGUCUAGAGCUGGGGCUGUGUUUUAUCAGCACCAUCACCACCAACCAUGUCACCAUCGCUACUCUUCAAUUUGUAGAAAAUCCAGCAAUCUCUGCCAAGUUUGCGAGAUACCAAAAGUGCAUUGAUUGUUUUCAUGAGAAAACAAUGAAUUUUAGGGAUGAAUUUUAGGGAUUCGUGUCACGUGUAAGGGCAGCUUCUGUCAUAAGCUUCCACAUCACAUAGAUAAAUAGAAUGGUGGAAGUUCAGAGGACUGGAGGAAUCAGUGAAAUCUGUGCUUCUCAAAGCAAGUUGAGCGGUCUCUUGGGACUAUGCAGCCAUGAGUCAGGUAAAGGGACACACGAGAACUGCAGGACGGGUAAGGGGCUUAGUGAAAAGGUGCGUUCAUUGGGAUUGGAAGCUGAGAUUAUAAUAUUACAUAAAACAUAUGUCUUCAUCAUUCUAUCACUCCCUUUUGCAUCAUUUAAGUUGAACAUUCUCUCUUUUCUAGAUUUUGGAGAGUGCUAUCUUUUUGGACAAUGAGUGUGAUUGCUAGCAGUUACUGUAUUUUAAGACAAGUUAAAAACGUUGUUUUACAUCUAAAAGGAGCUGCAGGAUGAGGUGUGGUGGGCGUGAGUGUGUGAAGGAGAGGGCUUUGGCUGGUAAAGAAUUUAGUAUCUAUUUUUAAAAUAAACAGAUUAUGGAAGCAAAUGCAAAAUUUUCAUAAAAUUUUAGGAGAAAAAUUUUUUAAAGUCAUUCUCUGUUUGGAGCAAGCAUUCAAAGAGUGUCCAAAUUCAUUUAGUACAAAUUCAGGAGAAACAUUUCAGAUUUACCUAAUCCAGUGUUUUUAUUAUGCCCAUGAGGGAGUAAAAGUGAUGGACCAAGCCAUUCGAAUCCAGAUUUUCUGACUGCCGGGCCUGAGCUCAGUGUCAUAGCUCUUUGAGGCAAGAGGAAAUGCAGAAUUAACGUCAACUGAGUUUUGUCCACAGGCCACACAUGAUGAUACUUGCCGGGCACUGUCAUGGUUGCAAGCUGUGGUUAAGGGUUAGGCUCCCGGUCAGACUUCCUCAGUGGGAAAUUGGUUCCACCUCUUACUCCCUGUGUGACUUUGGACGGGUCACUUAAGUUCUCUGAUUCCUAGUUUCUUCAUCUGCAAAAUGAGGAUCAUAAAUGAAACUCACUCUCUGAUAAGGAUUAAAUAAGAUAAUUCUUGCAAAGGAUUUAACAGUGCUUGAUGCAUAAACGUUGACUAAAUGAAUUUUGUAUUCAAAAAAGAAAGAAAAAAACCUUGCAAGUCAUAGGGGUGGGGAGGAUGAAGUGGGAUUUUACGUGCAUUUCACAAAUGAGAAAAAUCAGGGUUGAGUAAAAGUCAGUAACUUGCCGAGAAGUUGCAAAACCAGAAUGUGAAGUUGUAUCUGUCUGAACCGGAAGUUGAGGCUGCGUCUGCUGCGCCAUCUUGCCUUCUGAGAGGAGCAGGGAGCUGGCAAGAGCACGGGGACCAUCGACUUUGAGAGCUGGCCGCUGUGCUCAUGCUGAGCCCUGAAAGCUUCUGGCAGCUUCCCAGCAAUUCUGGAAAUCCGAAAAGCUCUGAACAGGAUGCAGCCCAGGUGGCAGAAGGCAAUGGGAAUAUUCAGGUGCAAAUAUCACUCAAAGGUGAAACCUGGAAUGUGAGCUUGGCUUCGUUUAGCUAGUUCCCAUUCGUUCUCAAGGACAGGCGCUGUGUCCUCUCUUUCUGCAGAACUGACUCACCCAUGCCCAUUGCUUUAAGAACUCACUCUGGGCUAGCUCUGCCAAUCAAGUGACCUUGGGCGGGUCACCUACCUCUUCAAGGCUUGAUUAGGACAGAGCCUCAGGCCACACACCCGACCAGCGUAUUCAGAUUCUUACAGAGUGAUACCCUGAAAUAUCUAUUUUUUUAUCUCAACUUUUCACCGAAGUAAACCUUAAGGCAGAAACAAAUCUACCAAUCCUAUAAGUGUACAGUUCAAUUAAUUUUCACAAAAUAAACACAGUCUCAAAUCAAGUAAUAGAGAAGCCCAGUCCAGAAGACCCCCAGUUAGACCUCCUCCUUGUCAGCACUCUUCCAAGAUAACCACUGUAUUCUGACUUCCAACAUUAUUGCUUAUUUGGCCUAUUUAUGAAAUGUAUCUAAAUGGAAUUACACAGUGUGUGGCUCCAUUUGUGCCACACAAGAAGUGGGCUUCUCUCACUCAACAGUGUGUUUGUGAAAUUCAUCCAUGUUAUUGCAUGUGGUUAUAGAUUGUUCAUUUUCAUUGCUGUGUAGUAGGGGGUCAGCCUCCUAUUUUGUAAAUAAAGUUUUAUUGAAGCCCUGCCAGGCUGAUUCAUUCCUGUCUACAGCUGCUUUCACUCUGCAACGGCAGAGUUUAGUCGCAGCAGAGACUGUAUGGCUGCCAAAGGUGAAAAUAUUUACCAUCUGGCACUUUCCAGAAAGAAGUUUGCUGACCUCCAAAUCUAUAGUCUCUGAUCACGUAUACCAACAGUUCUUUAUCCGUUCUACUCUCCACAGACAUUUGGAUUGCUUCUACUUUUGAGUUAUUUCAUAUAGUGCUGCCUUGAACUUUCUUGUACGUGUCUUUUGGUGACAUAUGUACACAUCCUAUUGGGUGUAUGGAGUGUGUAUUUUUUUUUAAAUCUCUGACUGAUUCUAACAUACAGACGGGUUUGGAAACCUCUGCAUUAGAACUGUAAUCUAACCCAAAGUGUUUAAAUUCUCUGGUCCAAGGUCACGCAGAAGAUCACUGGCAGAGCUGAGAUUGAUAACCAAACCCCUGUUUCUUGGAACAGUUCUGUUUUCCGCUGUAGUUCCUGUAGUCAUUAUCUUUAGAACAUUAACUUAGAAGGGUUUUUACUUAUCCAAGGUCUUUCACAAACAUGACUCUUUUCUACCAUAUCUGGUUGUGCAUUUUCAAGAACAGGAAACUCACUGCCUUAGGAGAAUUUUAGAGAAGGAAGGGAUUAUAUAAAUCACUUAACCCAAACCCUUCAUUUUAUAAAUUAGUAAAUCGAGGUUCAGAGAUACCAAUGAUUUUCCCACAAUAAGCAUUUUGAGUCUUGACUUUUAUCAUGUACUACAAAACGAUUUUGAACCUGCUGGUUUUGUCUUUGCAUUUGGUACUAUUUCAGUCAAUUAGCUGACCAAAGUAAGACCUAUUCAUUUGAACUAUGUAAUCAUUACAGAAAUGUCUAAAGUAAGACAAACAGUUUCUUCUUCCCCUUCCAACUGUAUAGCUGGUCUCCCCUAGGCAACCACUCUUAACAUUUUGUUUUUCGAUCAUCCGUAUGUAAAUACGUAAAAAUACAGGUAACGGGUAUGAGUCCACAACUUUGAUGAGGAAGAAAUAUUACUUAAUUUUUCUUUCACUCAAAUUAAUUUCUCCUUGAGGCUCCCCGCCAUCAGGCAGGCGGCUCCUCACUCUCAGUGAAUUUGGAACUCCCUCCCUUUCUCUAUAGUUGUGCCUGUAGGUCAGCGGGGGUGUGUGGUACCAAGAAUUCAGUGGGAGGUACAGCAUGGGCAGCAUCUGAUCCUUGGUGACCAUGGUGAUACUGAGACAUCUUUCAUCCUCUCUGGGCCCUGGCCACUGGUCCCCACAGAUGCAUUGGCCACUGUUGUCAGACCCUGUCAGGUGUGGUGGCAUCUGUGCCUGAGCCACAGCGAUCUCUGCCAGGCUGCCUGAGGCCCUUCCUGCCCUGCUCAUUCCAGCCAUUUCCUCUGUGGGCUCCUGCCAGCUUCCUUGGCCUCCCUAGAAAUUGAGGCCCAGCUUUCCUCUGGCCUUAGGUCCCACUAGCCUUGCUGGAGUUUUCCAGUUGCCCAGGUUCUAUCUGUGGCUUUUGGCAUCAAGCGCCUUUCUUCCAGGCUCACUUCCAACACUCACUCUUUCCUUCCAACACGCUCUCAUCUCUCCCCACAGUGGGAGUGUCUCCUGUCCAACCUUCAACAAGCCUCCUCGUACACGUGUUUCCUAUGCUUGGAUUUUUAUUUCUGUCAGGAUUUUUUUCCAGUCAGGCAGUGGGGAGAUCCCUCUUUUCUCAAACCCUCAAACAUUCGCAAGUUUGACUUUUUUGGAAACCAGUUGCUAGGGUGGUGCUUUUUUCCAAAGCUCACUGGGAACAUUACAUUCAGAGCAGCCCAGGGGCUCAACUGGGGGUAAGGGGAGAGAGAGGUAACGGUGGCCUACUGGAAGGAAAAAAACGUGGUUAAUAUUCAAAUUAUUAUCCUGCCACAAAAAUGGGCACAUCAGAAGGGUAAUUAUUUAGUCUUGUUUUUAUUCCAGAAUCAGGUCAUACAAUAUAUAAACUGUAGCUCUCAUUUUCACUUAACAUAUGGGACAAAUACCUGCACACAGAUAUGCCUCAUUAUUUGUAAUGGUUUCAUAGUACAAUUUGUUCAAUUAUUUUCUUGUUGAUGGAUAGCUAGGUUGUUUGUGUUAUUACAAAUAAUUAUAAUAAUAACCAAUGUUUACUAUGGUCUUAAAAUGUAGUAGGCAAUGUUCUAAGCACUUUACAUGCAUUAUUUCAUUUAAUCUUCAUAAAACUCCGUGAGAUAGAUAUUAUUGCUUUGCUUUCUUUCUACAGAUGAGAAAAUUGAGGCCCAUAAGGAUUAAAUAGCUUACUCAAGGUCGUAGUAUGGAAUGGAUUUGAAUCCCAGCGAGUCUAUGUGUAGUGGCCGUGCUCUAACCAUUACACAGCUCUGCCUCCUCCUUUCCUGAGGGUACUCGUACACUCGCUUAUAUACUUCAUUUUUAUUGCUGUCGGAUCACCCCAGAACUGAGGUUGUAGGGAAAGUAUUUGUGCAUUUUUGUAUUCUGACAGAUACUGGGAGAUUAUUUUUGGAUUGAAGCAGUUUACGGAACCAUCCCUGGUGUUCAACGGGAGCGAGCGCCCCUGAGCCUUCCCAGUGCUGGGUGGCAGGACGCAUCUGAAGUUACGUCGUGCUGGUUGGAACCCUGUCUUCCACUCCAGUGAUGUCCAGGUGUUUCAGUUUUCACUUCCCUGAUGCCUAUCGUGGAUGUCAAGCACCUUUUCUUAUGUUUACUGGCCCUUUGCAUUUCCUCUGCUGUCAAUCACCUGUCCACACCUGUCACUCUCUAAUUAAUUUGCAGGAGCUCUUUGCAUAUUGGGGAUAUUAAGCCAUUGUGUUAUAUGUGUUGUAAACAUUUUCUCUUAGAAGAUCACUUAUUCUCUGCUUUAUACUACAUAAAAGUUACACAUGUUUAUUUAAUCAAUUCUUCUCAUCUUUUCCUUCAUAAACUAGCUACAUAGUACACUAUAAGUAGUUUUUUAAAAAAAGUAUAUUCAGUUGUAAUUUUCCUAUCUUGCUAAAGAAAACUUUCCUCAUUCCAUAGCGACACAAACGUUUUCCUAUUUUUUCUUCUAAUAUCUUUAUGACUUUCCUUGUUUUAUAGUUAGUUCCUUAACUUUUCUGGAAUUUCCUUUUGGAUAUGUGGUAAGAUAGGAGUUGACAUUAUUUUCUUGCUUAUAUAUAGCUGAUUAUCUCCAGCCUGUUUGUUAUAUGCCCUUUGAAUUGUAUGCUUGACAAAUAUUAUGUAUUCUUUCUCAGUGACUUCUGCUCCCAGAUAUACGUGCGUUGACUUUUGGACCCCAUUCUCUCCCACUGAUUGAUCUGUCUUAAUAGCAACACAGUUCUACUUUGAUUGCAGUAGUUUGAUAUCUGGUAAAAACAGUACUGUCCCUACUUCUGAAAUGGAACUAUAAAGUUCAUUAGACACUUUUCUUCUCCAGAUAAUUAAUAAUAUCUCAGUAGGCCAGGAUGCUACCUUCUUAUAAAUUGGUUUUCUUAUGAAUGAAGGAAUACGACUUUUUAGGCAGAUGAAGCUUUUUAUGUCCAAGUUACAUGAUCUGACAUCCUUCAAAUUUUGUCAAAUAAUAUUAUCAAUCACUUGACCUUGAAUUUGGAUUAGAAUUAGAUUUUUUUUUUCAGCUUUAGACAUUGCCUUAAGACAAUAGGAAAAUUAUCCAAUAAGAGAAAAAAAACCUAACAAGUUUUAUGACUGAUAAAGAUCAUAUCUUGUUUGA